rnacentral:rRNA from 1 species
ACAUCCAGCGAACUUGGCAGAGAUGCCUUGGUGCCUUCGGGAACGCUGAGACAGGUGCUGCAUGGCUGUCGUCAGCUCGUGUUGUGAAAUGUUGGGUUAAGUCCCGCAACGAGCGCAACCCUUAUCCUUUGUUGCCAGCGAUUCGGUCGGGAACUCAAAGGAGACUGCCGGUGAUAACCGGAGGAAGGUGGGGAUGACGUCAAGUCAUCAUGGCCCUUACGAGUAGGGCUACACACGUGCUACAAUGGCGCAUACAAAGAGAAGCGACCUCGCGAGAGCAAGCGGACCUCAUAAAGUGCGUCGUAGUCCGGAUCGGAGUCUGCAACUCGACUCCGUGAAGUCGGAAUCGCUAGUAAUCGUGGAUCAGAAUGCCACGGUGAAUACGUUCCCGGGCCUUGUACACACCGCCCGUCACACCAUGGGAGUGGGUUGCAAAAGAAGUAGGUAGCUUAACCCUCGGGAGGGCGCUUACCACUUUGUGAUUCAUGACUGGGGUGAAGUCGUAACAAGGUAAGCGUAGCGAG